rnacentral:rRNA from 1 species
UAUACAAUGAAGAGUUUGAUCCUGGCUCAGGAUGAACGCUAGCGGCAGGCUUAACACAUGCAAGUCGAGGGGUAACAUUGUAGCUUGCUACAGAUGACGACCGGCGAACGGGUGCGUAACGCGUAUAGAAUCUGCCUUGUACAUGAGGAUAGCCUUUAGAAAUGAAGAUUAAUA